rnacentral:tRNA from 1 species
GAGGUUGGGGCUCAGUGGCAAAGCGCUUGCCUAGCAUGCAUGAGGCACUGGGUUCAAUCCUCAGCACCACA